rnacentral:rRNA from 1 species
CUAAGCAUAUCAAUAAGCGGAGGAAAAGAAACCAACAGGGAUUGCCCUAGUAACGGCGAGUGAAGCGGCAACAGCUCAAAUUUGAAAUCUGGCUUCGGCCCGAGUUGUAAUUUGCAGAGGAAGCUUUAGGCGCGGCACCUUCUGAGUCCCCUGGAACGGGGCGCCAUAGAGGGUGAGAGCCCCGUAUAGUUGGAUGCCUAGCCUGUGUAAAGCUCCUUCGACGAGUCGAGUAGUUUGGGAAUGCUGCUCAAAAUGGGAGGUAAAUUUCUUCUAAAGCUAAAUACCGGCCAGAGACCGAUAGCGCACAAGUAGAGUGAUCGAAAGAUGAAAAGCACUUUGAAAAGAGGGUUAAAUAGCACGUGAAAUUGUUGAAAGGGAAGCGCUUGUGACCAGACUUGCGCCGGGCGGAUCAUCCGGUGUUCUCACCGGUGCACUCCGCCCGGCUCAGGCCAGCAUCGGUUCUCGCGGGGGGAUAAAGGUCCUGGGAACGUAGCUCCUCCGGGAGUGUUAUAGCCCGGGGCGUAAUGCCCUCGCGGGGACCGAGGUUCGCGCAUCUGCAAGGAUGCUGGCGUAAUGGUCAUCAGCGACCCGUCUUGAAACACGGACCAAGGAGUCAAGGUUUUGCGCGAGUGUUUGGGUGUAAAACCCGCACGCGUAAUGAAAGUGAACGUAGGUGAGAGCUUCGGCGCAUCAUCGACCGAUCCUGAUGUUUUCGGAUGGAUUUGAGUAGGAGCGUUAAGCCUUGGACCCGAAAGAUGGUGAACUAUGCUUGGAUAGGGUGAAGCCAGAGGAAACUCUGGUGGAGGCUCGCAGCGGUUCUGACGUGCAAAUCGAUCGUCAAAUCUGAGCAUGGGGGCGAAAGACUAAUCGAACCAUCUAGUAGCUGGUUACCGCCGAA